rnacentral:rRNA from 1 species
GACAGAGGUCCCGAGCGUUAGGCGGAAUCACUGGGCUUAAAGCGUGUGUAGGUGGAUGCCUAAGUACCUUGUGAAAUCCCACGGCUUAACCGUGGAAUUGCUUGGUAUACUGGGUGUCUUGAGCUAGCUAGGGGCAACCGGAACAAAUGGUGGAGCGGUGAAAUGCGUAGAUAUCGGGAGGAACACCUGUGGCGAAAGCGGCGCACUGGACCACAACUGACGCUGAGGCGCGAAAGCUAGGGGAGCAAACAGG